UGGCUCGAUUUCCUGGGGGGUGGUCUCAGCCCACUCCACCUCCCGUCAGUCGAGCGUAGAGUAGAGGGGCCAGGCAUCCUUUCCAGGGGAGGGGCGUUGAAGCAAGGAGCCUCUCGUGGGCUGUCCUAGCUUCACAUUU
rnacentral:snoRNA from 1 species